UACGUAGGGUGCGAGCGUUAAUCGGAAUUACUGGGCGUAAAGUGUGCGCAGGCGGCGCCGCAAGUCGAGUGUGAAAUCCCCGAGCUUAACUUGGGAAUUGCGCUCGAAACUACGACGCUGGAGUAUGGCAGAGGCAGGUGGAAUUCCGGGUGUAGCGGUGGAAUGCGUAGAGAGUCCGGAAGAACACCAGUGGCGAAGGCGGCCUGCUGGGCAGUGGACCUGAAAGGGUCCUUCAACCGACACUGAGGCGCGAC
rnacentral:rRNA from 1 species